AUCACUCAAGUAGCUUAAAUAACAAAG
rnacentral:tRNA from 2 species